rnacentral:rRNA from 1 species
CCUACGGGAGGCAGCAGUGGGGGAUAUUGCACAAUGGGGGGAACCCUGAUGCAGCGACGCCGCGUGGGUGAAGAAGCGCCUCGGCGCGUAAAGCCCUGUCAGCAGGGAAGAAAAUGACGGUACCUGAAGAAGAAGCCCCGGCGAACUACGUGCCAGCAGCCGCGGUAAUACGUAGGGGGCAAGCGUUAUCCGGAUUUACUGGGUGUAAAGGGGGCGCAGACGGCGAUGCAAGUCAGGAGUGAAAGACCGGGGACCAACCCCGGGACUGCUCUUGGAACUGCGUGGCUGGAGUGCAGGAGGGGCAGGCGGAAUGCCUGGUGUAGCGGUGAAAUGCGUAGAUAUCAGGAGGAACACCGGUGGCGAAGGCAGCCUGCUGAACUGCAACUGACGUUGAGGCCCGAAAGCGUGGGGAGCAAACAGGAUUAGAUACCCUGGUAGUC